UAAAUUUCCUCUCCUCUCUCCUCUCUCCUCUCUCCCCCGAUGGCGUCCAAAGUCCUCAUGGUGGCGGAAAAACCUAGCAUCGCCCUCUCCAUUGCAUCUGCGCUCUCUCGAGGCCGGAUGUCAACACGAAGAGCUAAUACUGAUGUCCACGAGUUUGACGGAAUGUUUCAGGGAAUCAAUGUACGCUAUAAAGUUACAUCUGUUAUCGGUCAUGUAUUCAGUUUAGACUUUCGCGCCGCUACCAGAACUGGGAAGUAAUUGAUCCUAUGGAUCUUUUCCGCGCACCAGUAUUCAAAUCCGAAUCAAACCCAAAGGCUCAUAUUCGUCGUCAUUUGUCUCAAGAAGCGCGAGGUUGUGCCUCUCUUGUACUGUGGUUAGACUGUGAUAGAGAAGGUGAAAAUAUCUGUUAUGAAGGCUAAUAUGACAAACUUC